GACGAACGCUGGCGGCGUGCUUAACACAUGCAAGUCGAACGGAAAGGCCCUGCUUUUGUGGGGUGCUCGAGUGGCGAACGGGUGAGUAACACGUGAGUAACCUGCCCUUGACUUUGGGAUAACUUCAGGAAACUGGGGCUAAUACCGGAUAGGAGCUCCUGCUGCAUGGUGGGGGUUGGAAAGUUUCGGCGGUUGGGGAUGGACUCGCGGCUUAUCAGCUUGUUGGAGGGGUAGUGGCUUACCAAGGCUUUGACGGGUAGCCGGCCUGGGAGGGUGACCGGCCACAUUGGGCCUGAGAUACGGCCCGUACUCCUACGGGGGGCAGCAGUGGGGAAUAUUGCACGAUGGGCGGAAGCCUGAUGCAGCAACGCCGCGUGCGGAAUGACGGCCUUCGGGUUGUAAACCGCUUUCGCCUGUGACGAAGCGUGAGUGACGGUAAUGGGUAAAGAAGCACCGGCUAACUACGUG
rnacentral:rRNA from 1 species